rnacentral:tRNA from 1 species
GCGGGUGUGGUGAAGUGGUUAACACAUCAGAUUGUGGCUCUGACAUUCGUGGGUUCGAU